rnacentral:rRNA from 1 species
UACAGAGGUCUCAAGCGUUGUUCGGAUUCAUUGGGCGUAAAGGGUGUGUAGGUGGCGCGCUAAGUCGGGUGUGAAAUUUCGGAGCUUAACUCCGAAACUGCAUUCGAUACUGGCGUGCUUGAGGACUGGAGAGGAGACUGGAAUUCAUGGUGUAGCAGUGAAAUGCGUAGAGAUCAUGAGGAAGACCAGUGGCGAAGGCGGGUCUCUGGACAGUUCCUGACGCUGAGGCACGAAGGUCAGGGGGGCAAACGGG